rnacentral:rRNA from 1 species
GAUGAACGCUGGCGGCGUGCCUAAUACAUGCAAGUCGAACGAAACUUCUUUAUCACCGAGUGCUUGCACUCACCGAUAAAGAGUUGAGUGGCGAACGGGUGAGUAACACGUGGGCAACCUGCCCAAAAGAGGGGGAUAACACUUGGAAACAGGUGCUAAUACCGCAUAACCAUAGUUACCGCAUGGUAACUAUGUAAAAGGUGGCUAUACUACCGCUUUUGGAUGGGCCCGCGGCGCAUUAGCUAGUUGGUAGGGUAAAGGCUUACCAAGGCAAUGAUGCGUAGCCGAAUUGAGAGGUUGAUCGGCCACAUUGGGACUGAGACACGGCCCAAACUCCUACGGGAGGCAGCAGUAGGGAAUCUUCCACAAUGGGCGAAAGCCUGAUGGAGCAACGCCGCGUGGGUGAAGAAGGUCUUCUGAUCGUAAAACCCUGUUGUUAGAGAAGAAAGUGCGUGAGAGUAACUGUUCACGUUUCGACGGUAUCUAACCAGAAAGCCACUGCUAACUACGUG